rnacentral:rRNA from 1 species
UGGGGAAUAUUGGACAAUGGGCGCAAGCCUGAUCCAGCCAUGCCGCGUGGAUGAUGAAGGCCCUAGGGUUGUAAAGUCCUUUUAACGGGGAAGAUAAUGACGGUACCCGUAGAAUAAGCCCCGGCUAACUUCGUGCCAGCAGCCGCGGUAAUACGAAGGGGGCUAGCGUUGCUCGGAAUUACUGGGCGUAAAGCGCACGUAGGCGGGUUCUUAAGUCGGUGGUGAAAUCCUGGAGCUCAACUCCAGAACUGCCUUCGAUACUGGGAAUCUUGAGUCCGGGAGAGGUGAGUGGAACUGCGAGUGUAGAGGUGAAAUUCGUAGAUAUUCGCAAGAACACCAGUGGCGAAGGCGGCUCACUGGCCCGGUACUGACGCUGAGGUGCGAAAGCGUGGGGAGCAAACAGGAUUAGAUACCCCCGUAGUCC